AAAGAGAUGAGAACUUUGAAGCUCGUGUUGAAGAUAGUUGAGAUAACGGCGAAGCUCACCAUCACUUGCUAGAAAUCACUGAGAAAUAGGUAAAGCUUGCUUGCGAAUGAGUGUGGCUUUCAGGGAUUCUUGAUGGCUAGGGUUUCGGCUGUCGUCGACAGGUGAGGUUUUGGUUUCGAUUUAGGACUGAAUUUGAUUCCGCUGUGGCAAAGAAAGACUGCGGCGGGUCAGCGGCGAGCCAACGACAGUGAGGGUUGUCAUUGUCAGUGAGGAGCGAGCUACAUUCGAGAGAGAGAAGUUUUAUAGUAAUGAGUGAGUGUGGC
rnacentral:lncRNA from 1 species